GUAAACGGCGGCCGUAACUAUAACGGUCCUAAGGUAGCGAAAUUCCUUGUCGGGUAAGUUCCGACCUGCACGAAUGGUGUAACGAUUUGAGUACUGUCUCAACCAGAGACUCGGCGAAAUUGCAAUGUGAGUAAAGAUGCUCACUAUGCGCGACAGGACGGAAAGACCCCGGAACCUUUACUGCAACUUGAUAUUGAAUGUUGGUGUGCAGUAUGCAGGAUAAGUGGGAGACUUUGAUUUAGCGGCGCUAGUCGUUAAUGAGUCAUCCUUGAGAUACCACUUUCUUCAUAUUGACCUUCUAACCUAGAUCCGUUAUCCGGAUCAGGGACAUUGUCUGGUGGGCAGUUUCACUGGGGCGGUGGCCUCCUAAAAAGUAACGGAGGCGCUCUAAGGUCACCUCAGCGUGGACGGCAAUCACGCAUCGAGUGUAAGUGCAAAAGGUGGCUUGACUGUGACACAAACAAGUGGAGCAGGUACGAAAGUAGGAACUAGUGAUCCCAUGGUUGCAUGUGGGUGCGCCAUGGCUCAUCGGCUAAAAGGUACUCCGGGGAUAACAGGCUUAUACCCCCCAAGAGUCCAUAUCGACGGGGGUGUUUGGCACCUCGAUGUCGGCUCAUCUCAUCCUGGGGCUGGAGCAGGUCCCAAGGGUUAGGCUGUUCGCCUAUUAAAGAGGAACGCGAGCUGGGUUCAGAACGUCGUGAGACAGUUCGGUCCCUAUCCGUCGCGCACGUAAGAAAUUUGAAGAAAGUUGUCCCUAGUACGAGAGGACCGGGAUGAACGAUCCGCUGGUGUGCCAGUUGUUCUGCCAAGAGCACCGCUGGUUAGCUACGAUCGGACAGGAUAAGCGCUGAAAGCAUCUAAGUGCGAAGCCCCUUCUAAGAUAAGAUUUCUCAUCGGGUUAACCGAUUAAGACUCCUUAUAGAACAUGAGGUUGAUAGGUCAGAAGUGUAAUUACAGUAAUGUAUGUAGCUGACUGAUACUAAUAAGUCGAGGGCUUGAACUG
rnacentral:rRNA from 1 species